UCCGCGCGGAAGAUGUAACGGGGCUAAGCGAUGUACCGAAGCUGCGGGUGCAUAGCAAUAUGCGCGGUAGAGGAGCGUUCCGUAAGCCUGCGAAGGUGACUCGUAAGGGUUGCUGGAGGUAUCGGAAGUGCGAAUGCUGACAUGAGUAACGAUAAUGCAGGUGAAAAACCUGCACGCCGUAAGCCCAAGGUUUCCUGCGCAACGAUUUUCGGCGCAGGGUAAGUCGGAUCCUAAGGCGAGGCCGAAAGGCGUAGUCGAUGGCAAACAGGUUAAUAUUCCUGUACUUCCUUAGCUGCGAUGGGAGGACGGAGAAGGUUAG
rnacentral:rRNA from 1 species